rnacentral:rRNA from 1 species
UACGUAGGCAGCGAGCGUUGUUCGGAAUUACUGGGCGUAAAGAGUGUGUAGGCGGUGCUCCAAGUCUGUUGUGAAAUCUCUGGGCUCAACCCAGAGGCUGCUUCCAAAACUGCUGUGCUUGAGUGUGGGAGAGGCGCGUGGAAUUGCAGGUGUAGCGGUGAAAUGCGUAGAUAUCUGCAGGAACACCCGUGGCGAAAGCGGCGCGCUGGACCACAACUGACGCUGAGGAACGAAAGCUAGGGGAGCAAACAGG